rnacentral:rRNA from 1 species
UACGUAGGGUGCUAGCGUUGUUCGGAAUCAUUGGGCGUAAAGCGCGUGUAGGUGGCUAGUUAAGUCGUGUGUGAAAUCCCUGGGCUCAACCGAGGAAGUGCAUGCGAAACUAACUAGCUCGAGUAUGGUAGAGGAUGGUGGAAUGCCGUGUGUAGAGGUGAAAUUCGUAGAUAUACGGCGGAAUACCGGUGGCGAAGGCGGCCAUCUGGACCAUUUCUGACACUGAGACGCGAAAGCGUGGGGAGCAAACAGG